rnacentral:rRNA from 1 species
CAUUAUUGAAUUUCAGGAUGUGCUGGCCUUUUAGGGGCAAAGUGCACUCCGCCCUUUCAAUUCACCUGUGAACUUAUUGUAGACUUGAAUAUAAAAUAAUUCAAGUCUAUGUUUAUACAUCCCUAAACAAGUCUAUAGAAUGUCUGAUGGUUAGGCCUUAGGUCUAAAGCUUAAUAUAACUUUCAACAAUGGAUCUCUUGGUUCUCGUAUCGAUGAAGAACGCAGCGAAUUGCGAUAUGUAAUGUGAAUUGCAGAAUUCAGUGAAUCAUUGAAUCUUUGAACGCACCUUGCGCCCUUUGGUAUUCCGAAGGGCAUGCCUGUUUGAGUGUCAUUAAAUUCUCAACUUCAGAAAGGUUAUUGCCUUCUUUGAAUUGGAUGUUGGAGAGCUUGCUGAUGUUGUUGUCAGCUCCUCUUAAAUGCAUUAGCAGAAUGUUAAGGACUGGCUUUGGUUUGAUAAUCCUAUCUAUGCUAUUGCUGUGGACCUUUAUGUGUUCAGCUUCUAAUGGUCUUUUGGACUGUCUCAUUGGGUGGGGCAUAUAUAGUGUCUUGACCUCAAAUCAGGUAGGACUACCC